rnacentral:rRNA from 1 species
GACGAACGCUGGCGGCGUGCUUAACACAUGCAAGUCGAACGGAAAGGCCUCUUUCGGGGGGUACUCGAGUGGCGAACGGGUGAGUAACACGUGAGUAACCUGCCCUUGACUUUGUGAUAACUUCAGGAAACUGUGGCUAAUACCGGAUAUGAGCUCCUGCUGCAUGGUGGGGGUUGGAAAGUUUCGGCGGUUGGGGGUGGACUCGCGGCUUAUCAGCUUGUUGGUGGGGUAGUGGCUUACCAAGGCUUUGACGGGUAGCCGGCCUGAGAGGGUGACCGGCCACAUUGGGAAUGGGAUACGGCCCAGACUCCUACGGGAGGCAGCAGUGGGGAAUAUUGCAAAAUGGGUGGAAGCCCGAUGCAGCAACGCCGUGUGCGGGAUGACGGCCUUCGGGUUGGAAACCGCUUUCGCUCAUGAAGAAGCUUUGUGUGACGGUAGUGGGUAAAGAAGCACCGGCUAACUACGUG